GAUGAACGCUAGCGGCAGGCCUAACACAUGCAAGUCGAGGGGCAGCGGGGGUAGCAAUACCUGCCGGCGACCGGCGCACGGGUGAGUAACGCGUAUGCAACCUACCUUAUACUGGGGAAUAACCCGGAGAAAUCCGGACUAAUACCGCAUAAUGAUCGAAAGUGGCAUUACUUUUGAUUUAAAGGAGCAAUCCGGUAUAAGAUGGGCAUGCGUAUCAUUAGAUAGUUGGUAAGGUAACGGCUUACCAAGUCGACGAUGAUUAGGGGUUCUGAGAGGAUAAUCCCCCACACUGGGACUGAGACACGGCCCAGACUCCUACGGGAGGCAGCAGUGAGGAAUAUUGGUCAAUGGACGGAAGUCUGAACCAGCCAUGCCGCGUGCAGGAAGACGGCCCUACGGGUUGUAAACUGCUUUUUUAAGGGAACAAUAAGCUGUACGUGUACAGCGAUGAGUGUACUUUAUGAAUAAGCACCGGCUAACUCCGUGCCAGCAGCCGCUGUAAUAC
rnacentral:rRNA from 1 species